AAAUUUACUUCUUAUUUUAUGUAAAGGUUGAUAUCAAAGUACUAUACAUAUGCGGGUUAUAUCAUAGUUAAAUCACUAGAAAUUAUACUCGUGCGUUGCUACGAGAUUUAUUGCCAACAAAAUUUAUAUUCCAUAUAUUGAAAUAGGGAUCCCCUUGCACGCCUUGGGGGUAUGCAUACCUCGUCUAGGUGGCACUAACUCCGUUAGUUGACUCUUUGUUUCUACAUAAUCCCAAAGACUAUGUAGAAUCAUGGUGGAACAUGAACAAUAUACAAUCAUGAACAAGAGACAAUGACGUAUAGUGGUUCACCAUGCCAUCAGAGGACAUGGCUACGUCCACUUAAGAUUCCACUAUCAUAGCCAAUAUGCCUUUGGUGUUACAAGAGCUCUCCAAGAUGGAGUGAUUUGCAUCCAUCCUCAUUCUACACACGGGAAGCCUUCCUUUUAUAGUUAAGGAAGGUUCUCUCACAUAUUAUGUUUCUGAUAUGGGACUAACUACAUAUAUAUCUUCUUAUAGUGCCUUCUUGUGGAGUUUAGGAGUGCACCUUCCCGAUGUGCUUUUUCACCAUGACGAGGUAGCCCGGAUGUCAAUCUACCGGAAGUAUGUCGGAGGCGGGGUCCUUCAUGGCCGAAAAACGGUCUACGAGGUCGUUACUUAUGCUUGCGGUAUAUAUACCAUCUACAUGUCCCCCCAACUCCCGAGUAAGAGGUCCAUCUUACUUGGAGAGUUACAAAUAAACUGUAUGCCGCCAAGCAUAGGUAACGAUCGAGUAACGACAAACACCCCCUGUCCCCCCAACUCUCUAAGGAAGAAGAUUCUCUUACUCGAAAUUAUUUCCCUCUCCCCCUUUCUCACCAUUUUCUUCUCUCACUAUGUCCCCCCAAGUCUUGCUCAGAUGGAAUGCCUAUCUCAGUCGAAUGCCAAUCUCUUGGUGGAAUGCCUAUCUCUCGGUGGUUUCUCAGUCUAAUCAUGAAGACUUAGAUUUUCAUAUCCUGAUUGUGUUUCCAAUCCAAUCGUGAAGACUCGGAACUCCCUAUGCAAUGUCUGGGAGGCAAAAUAAUAUGUAAACAUAGAAUAUGUACAAUUUCCUCAUGGAUUGCCUUUGAAGAAAGCUGACGAGUGCACGCAAUAGGAGGUACGGUAGAAUGGACUUUCACUGGAGUCUCGUGCAUUCCGCUCCUCGGGUCACUGGAGUCCCUAAUGUCCUGACAUAAUCACAUCAUUAAUUAAAUGAACUUAAUAUUGACCAAUCAUAAAUUCAUCGACCAAUCAUAACUCACAAAACAUUCCAUCUUUUGGAUGCUUACUACUUCACACACAUUUAAUCAAACAUGUCCAUACGGCCAUUUCAAGGCCUCACAUGCAACUUUAGAAUCAUACCACAAAUAGGUCUAGCAUAUCAUAUAAGCAAACAAAAACCAUAUCAAGGCCCUCACGUACAUAGCAGCAACAUUAAUUCCAAAACCACACCACUCACACCAAACUACUAUGGACACCCAUAUACCAUCACACCACGAAAGCUUCUAAUGAGGCUUGUAAAUCAUCCUCGUAAUUCUGGAACGUAGCAUGGUUCUCUUACUCUAGCAGCAUGCUUAUACACACACACUUAGCUCAACAGAAAACAAGGAAACAUAUUCAAAAUUCUGGGACUUUACCAACUGCAGGGUAAACUUUGAAAAAUCACUGACUUUUCAAUUUACAUUGGAAUAAGUUGAAACUUUCCAGAUCAAGAGUUCUCAUAUAGAAGAACAAGAGCACAAAAUUUCAAACCAAACGAAGACCCAAAACCCAAUCAAAUUCAACUACGAAGCAACUGAACUGCUUAACACAAACACAAUUUCAGCACAGAGUACCCAACUUCAAAAAUUCACCAUGAAUCAUCUACCUUAUCAAACAACACCAAACUUUCCAGAUCAAGGGUAAUCACAUGGAAGGACAAGGGUACAAAGUUUCAAGCCAAACGGAAUCCUCAAUCCUAACGAAAUUCGAACUCAAGACAGCUACACCGCAUAACAUGAAAAGUUUCAGCACAAAACACUUAUCAGCAAUUCGCUAUAAUUUAACUACCUUAUCAAAUAACACAAUCUUUUACAGAUCGACAGUACCCCAAUAUAGCAUUAGAAAUCAAGUAGAUCAUAUCCCUUCCUAUCCCAACAGGUAAUGUAAUAACAGCCAUGGAACAAACAAGAGCAUACCAAAGAAUACUUAACAUGGUUCUUUAGCAACUUACUCCCAUAGUUAAUUGAUCAACUGAAAAUGGAGCCAACCAAGGUACUCUUACGGCAAGGUAUGAACUCACAGAUCAAUAAUGAAGCACCGCUAUACUUCCAACUUUCCAAGACUAACCACAAUUACAACUACAAGUCCAAAUAUACUUGUAUAGCAAAGAAGUCUUGCAAGAUAUAUUGAUCGUCUAUGUACUUGUACAGAGCUUCACUCACUCUUUCCUACCCACACUUCUCAUAUAACUUGUCGUUACAAAACAAAAUUAUCACACUUCAAUUACUAUGGACACCCAAAAGAUUUUAAAAUACCAGAUUAACCAAAGAACAUACACUUGUUUUCAAUUAUUAGAAGAGUCCUAGCUCAUAGCAAUUAUCAAAUAGGAUGCUCACUUUUACAACACAAGACAAACUUACUAUAAAUCAAGUCUGAAACCAAGUCCAUUAAACCGACCAAAUCAAAGUACUAAUUAUCAUGAUUUCACAAAGUCCCAAACUCAUCCUUUUUUAAGUACUUUGUUCGACUCCUCUGUGCACAACAAACAGAGGACAUCAUUUAGUACUUGGUCUUCCUUUUACAUGCCAUUCUAGACUUCACUGAUUCAAUAUGCACAACAACACAACAUACAAUUCCUCAGCCCUACAAACACUAAUCUCCAUGACUUACUCACUUUUGACAUUAACACAGUAGUACACGCAAGGUUCCAAACCUUCACAGAAUUCACACAGUACAACUGAAACUUAACAGAGCAUGCCCAAGCCUGGGCUAAAUGGCUAACUCAAUACUGAUAUAGAUCGAACUCACUCUACUUGCACCCAUAACAGACUGAUUGUUAAAUAAACACCAAUAUAGCACAAAUACCAGAUUUGAAGAGAUGUAGGAGUAAGAAGACUUAGCUUUGCCUUUCCUUGCUCGUAGAAGUAUUGCUCAUAGAAGUGUAUUGAUGGGAGCAUUGCACUUGUACAGUUCUGGAGUUUCUUUUCAGAACUCAAUGUGUUGACUUGAGAGUUGAGACCAUUGGUAUUAUGCGAUUUGCACUCCACAUGAUCCCCAGCAAUUUAAAACCGAUUCAGUCCUUUUUUUUUUUCCUUUUACCGAGCAGUUGCCGAUGACUGAGAGCAGCGGGUGCCGGUCACUUUUUGAUUUCGGACCUAGAAGCUUCACCUCAUGAUCGGUAUGCGUACUAGAUUUGAUUGAUCGAGGCCGAUCGCGGUCCCUCGGCCGAUGACGCCCGAUUUGAUCGAGUCGGAUCCCAACUCCCACAUGGACUCCCUCUCCUGACGAAUUCGACCGACCGGGAACAUGAGCUUGGCCUAAACUUAUUCCGCUAUCCCGGAGAAGAAGAAACUGCCGGUGAUUUGCCAACGGGACCCAAAUUCUGCCAGCCCGAUCCCCUCUCGCUAUUUCUGACAAAUUCUCAUCCCGGCAGGGGAAACGACAAAUUCCGUUGUAGUCAUUGGGAUAAGAAGAUGAUCGGGCAACGGGAGGAGUGGGUCGUCACCUGUGAAGCUCCCGGUCGACAUGACUAAGCUAUCCGGGUCCCGGUGUGUCACCUCCGAGUGUUGCCUAGAGACGUCGGUCACAAGCCUUGGGUCGCGAUGAUAAGAAGAACCCGGGCGGGCCAUGCCAUCCCUCUUGGUGGCUUGCGCCUCCAUAUUGCCGACUGAUGGGUUGGGGCCGAUGGCUUAGGUCUGUAUACGAGAUACCUUGGGCUGACCUACUUGCAUGAGCUUAUCGGUAGAGCAGCAAAACUUUUAGUACCCACAGACAGCGCCAAAUGUUUCUGUAUAAUCUUGGAGACUAUGUAGAAUCACGGUGGAACAUAAACAAUAUACAAUCAUGAACAAGAGGCAAUGACGUAUAGUGGUUCACCAUGCUAUCGGAGGACAUGGCUACGUCCACUUAAGAUUCCAUUAUUAUGGCCAAUAUGCUUUUGGUGUUACAAGAGCUCUCUAAGAUGGAGUGAUUGGCAUCCAUCCUCAUUCUACACACGGGAAGCCUUCCUUUUAUAGUUAAGAAAGGUUCCCUCACAAGAGCUCUCUAUCGGAGGACAUGGCUACGUCCACUUAAGAUUCCAUUAUUAUGGCCAAUAUGCUUUUGGUGUUACAAGAGCUCUCUAAGAUGGAGUGAUUGGCAUCCAUCCUCAUUCUACACACGGGAAGCCUUCCUUUUAUAGUUAAGGAAGGUUCCCUCACAUAUUAUGUUUCUGAUAUGGGACUAAUUACACAUAUAUCUUCUUAUGGUGCAUUCUUGUGGAGCUUGGGAGAGCACCUUCUCGAUAUGGUACCGAUGAUCUUUCACCAUGGCGAGGUAGCUCGAAUGUCGGUCUACCAAAAGUAUGUCGGAGGCGGGGUCCUUCAUGGCUGAAAAACGGUCUACGAGGUCGUUGCUUAUGCAUGCGGUAUAUAUACUAUCUACACUCACUAACUCCGUUAGCUGACUCACUAACUUUGUUAACUCUAACAACGUUUAAGUUUUUUUUUUUUUUUUUUUUCCUAGUUAAUCCUCAGUUUUUUUUUUAACCUCACUCUCUCUCACACAAAAACACGCCAGAAACCCUGCUUAGUAGCUUUGAAGUCACAUACCUCAGCCUAGCACCUCUGAAGUCGACCCAAGUCAUCGCAAGAAGUAGAGGACGUUGGAAAGCCUUGUCGGUAUCCACCGCAACAGCUCACCAGAAAACUCAAAAUCGACAGUAAAAGGGUUAUUAAGAUUUGUAAAAGAUUCGAGGGAUUAAGGGCACUAGGGUGCGCAGAGAAUGAAGGGAAAAGUUCGAAUAAGCCAGUUUCAGGCCAAAUUGUCGCUGGAGUCGAUGGAAAGAGAAUAACACAGUCGGAGCUUCUCGCCGUCGAUUUGCUGACACGACCCACCCCGAAUUUCACCCUGAAACCCAGAGUAAGUCGUGCGGGGACCACCUCCAAGGAAAAUUUACUGAAAAGAUUAAGAAAAUCUCCCUUGCAGAUGGACAACCCUAACUCGAAAAUUUCAUAUUACACUCUUAAUUCAACACUUCCGAACCUCACAUAAUAUACAAUAAUCUCAAAGUAUUCAGAGCUACUAAACACAAGCGGAAGCAAGAAAACACGAGUAGGUUGAACAGGUAACCUACUGGCGAAAACUGGCAGAAAUGCGGGUGACUAUGCCUCGUCUCCUACUAGAUCCAACCCGAACUCUGCAGACUGGGC
rnacentral:lncRNA from 1 species